rnacentral:tRNA from 1 species
CCGCCGGCCUGGGUGGUGGUGACGAACAGGCCGUUGACGACGGCCUGGAGGCUGAUCGUGCCGUCGUCGUUGGG